rnacentral:rRNA from 1 species
GAUGAACGCUGGCGGCGUGCCUAAUACAUGCAAGUCGAACGGUCGGCUUCGGCCGAUAGUGGCGAACGGGUGAGUAACGCGUUGGUGACCUGCCCCGAAGAGAGGGAUAACAGGCCGAAAGGCCUGCUAAUACCGCAUGAGCUAACCGAAGAUUAGGAAGCGGUUAGGAAAUGGAGUAAUCCGCUUUGGGAGGGGCCUGCGUCCCAUCAGCUAGUUGGUAAGGUAAAGGCUUACCAAGGCGAUGACGGGUAGGGGGCCUGAGAGGGUGACCCCCCACAAUGGAACUGAAACACGGUCCAUACACCUACGGGUGGCAG